UACGUAGGGACCAAGCGUUGUUCGGAUUUACUGGGCGUAAAGGGCGCGUAGGCGGCUUGUCAAGUCACUUGUGAAAUCUCUGGGCUUAACCCAGAACGGCCAAGUGAAACUGACUUGCUAGAGUGCAGAAGGGGCAAUCGGAAUUCUUGGUGUAGCGGUGAAAUGCGUAGAUAUCAAGAGGAACACCUGAGGUGAAGGCGGGUUGCUGGGCUGACACUGACGCUGAGGCGCGAAAGCCAGGGGAGCAAACGGG
rnacentral:rRNA from 1 species